AUUUGACUGUGAGCCAUGUGAUGUGCUGUUUCCUGCAAAGGAGCCAUUUUGUGAAGCACAUGUGAAGACGGUGAGAAGGGGGGGUGAAGAAACGCAUUUCUGAAACGCAACGUGAUAGAUGCUGAAAAGAGACCAGCCCUGUGGAACAAUUUAGAGAAGUUGUAAUUCUAUGCUUAAUUGUCUGCCUCUCUGAAAAUCCUGAGAAUCUGAUCAAGCACCAUCAGGAUACUCAUGGGAAUAAGGAGGAACUGGAACUGCUCACACUUAAAAUCAUCAAGAAAGGUGGCUCAACAGAUGAUCCAUUACAGACUGGGAUAGUGCUGGAAGGCAUAGAGGUGAUGACGAGAUUGGCAGGUGUUGCGAAGGCUUGUGUUUUUCUGCUUGGCCUAAUUUAAGCAAUUAAUCUGAGUUACCCCAAAGAGCUCAAUGAACAAUGUUUGUCUGCUACUGUUGGAUUACAUUCUUGUUUUAUUCUUAGGAUGUUUUUUGGGUGUUCCAAAAGUAAAUGUUAGAAAAAUUGUUGCAAAGG
ensembl:lncRNA